UGAACGCUGGCGGCGUGCCUAAUACAUGCAAGUCGAGCGAACAGACGAGGAGCUUGCUCCUCUGACGUUAGCGGCGGACGGGUGAGUAACACGUGGAUAACCUACCUAUAAGACUGGGAUAACUUCGGGAAACCGGAGCUAAUACCGGAUAAUAUAUUGAACCGCAUGGUUCAAUAGUGAAAGACGGUUUUGCUGUCACUUAUAGAUGGAUCCGCGCCGCAUUAGCUAGCUGGUAAGGUAACGGCUUACCAAGGCAACGAUGCGUAGCCGACCUGAGAGGGUGAUCGGCCACACUGGAACUGAGACACGGUCCAGACUCCUACGGGAGGCAGCAGUAGGGAAUCUUCCGCAAUGGGCGAAAGCCUGACGGAGCAACGCCGCGUGAGUGAUGAAGGUCUUCGGAUCGUAAAACUCUGUUAUUAGGGAAGAACAAAUGUGUAAGUAACUAUGCACGUCUUGACGGUACCUAAUCAGAAAGCCACGGCUAACUACGUG
rnacentral:rRNA from 1 species